CCAAAUUCCAUCUGGUAGUAAUUAAAAAAUUCCAUACAAUGAAAAUACUCGUAUAUAUUUCCAUCAUGAACUCAAUAUACGUGUGAAUAAAUCGAUAAGUAAAUCAAUAUGGUGCAUACUCUAAAAUCUCAGAGAUCUUUGAUGUCGUAGAAGUUAUUAGUCUUCUACUCAUUUCGGAAAUCCCUACAGAAAAAGGGAGUACAUUUCAAACUCCAGAACAUGAUGGUGCAAACGGUGAACUGAAUAAAGCUAUAAUGGGCCAGUAUACUACAUGGAGCAUAAAUAUGCAACAUGAAUUUUGUAGUUAUAGUAUUAAUACUUUCUUCGAAAAUGAAAAUUUGUUUGCAGCAUGGGUGUGAAGCAUGCAUGCCCGUGCACAAUCAAGGAUUGAAGUCCAAAUCUCAGCAUGUUCCACGUCACCAGAACAUCAUCGUAUUCCCAAGUAACCAAAAAUAUUGUUACUCCUGGUUGCCGUGAAAUUUCUGCAACAAAGAGGGGACAAUUCAGUACAAAGAGAGAUAACAGAGAGAAGGGAGACGUAGUGUUGUUGUCAUUGUGCUCCCUCACCUCCCGGCCCUGCAACUUGAAACCACCGGCGCCUCUGCACUGCAACCCCGUAUGCACAUCGUCCCUCUCCCUCGCCCGACACAAGACACACAAGCUAGCACCGGCCAAAAAUCAAUCAAUCAAUCAGUCAGUCAGGGGAAGCUUGUUGAUUGACAUCCAAAAAUUCAAUGAGAUAGAGAGCAGAAUGAACUCAUUAACAGCACACAUAAACAACCAACCAUCCCCUGGUUCAAACUAGUACUGGUACAUAUUUACAGAUUCGACGGUUCGGUUUAGGCACCAGAAAGCAGAAAGCAGAGAUAUAAGAUGACAGAUAACAGAGAACCAGAAAGCAGG
rnacentral:lncRNA from 1 species